CCAGAACUUUGAGGCUUUGAGAUUUGGGAAAAAAUAAUUCUCACCAGAGUUGGGGGGAGACUGUGAAGUGGGAGUGAGCUUUCUCUUUCCCCGGAAGGAAUUUUAUUUGUUGUUUUUGCGUGUUUAAAAAUUUUAGAGAAAUCGUGGUGUCACAAUAGAAUAGAUUGCGGAGGUUCUCCAUGGGAUGUGGGGGUGUGUUGGAUGGCUCAGUUGUGGGCAGAUCUUGUUAUAGUCAGACCUGGGGAUUGAACAUUGCCUGAAGAUGGCUUCAUUAGUGCCGCUUGGCAUAAAAGUGAAAGCAAAACAAGUAGGGAAAAACCGAAACCUGGGAUGCCCUGAUCUGGAAAUGUGAGCUUGGGUACAUUCCUGGUGGGCAGAUGGGGACAAGACGCAAUUAUAGUUUCAGGAAACCAGGGCUGGGCUGGGCUGGGCUUGGCAUUGGAGGAGGUCAGCAGGCCUGGGAGAUAGAUGGCAGGAGCUGGUGACCUGGCUGAUUCAUCUUUGAGUUUAGGACGUGUUAGUCAUCUGUGCAGCGAGUCGAGAGCAGACAGUCAGUGCCUUACAGGCUGGACAACAAGGCUGAGUGGGCGUUCCCACAGGGGCUGAGCUUCACGGGAGGAAGGGGGAAGUGCAUGGUGGGAUGAGCAGCAAGAACAGCUGUUAGUAAAGGGGAACCUGAGGAAAGGGAAAGUGGGCCCAGGGAACGGCAUCAUUAGCCUUCUGCUUCAGGAGUUGUUCUCAGCUGAGAACCCACUGCUAAGAAGACCUCCGCUCGUUCACUCAAUAAGAUCACCAUGGAAACAUGCUUCUGGGUCUGAUCAUGAGAGUGUUUCCAGAAAGGUUAAAUGGAAGAGAAACAGCCCACCUUGAAUAUGAGAAGGAUCAUCCCAUUGACUGGGGUCUCAGAGUGAGUCAAAUGGAGAAAGUGCCCUGAGUACUAGCAUUCAUCUUUCUCUGUUACCUGACUAUGGAUGUAACAUGACCAACCACCUCACACACUGACAGCCAUGCUAUCCCCACCAGGAUAGACUGUAUUGCCUAAACUAUAAGCCACAAUAAACCGUUCCCAACUUAA